CACGUAGGGUGCGAGCGUUGUCCGGAAUUAUUGGGCGUAAAGAGCUCGUAGGCGGUGUGUCGCGUCGGCCGUGAAAACCUGCAGCUUAACUGUGGGCUUGCGGUCGAUACGGGCAUCACUGGAGUUCGGCAGGGGAGACUGGGAAUUCCUGGUGUAGCGGUGAAAUGCGCAGAUAUCAGGAGGAACACCGGUGGCGAAGGCGGGUCUCUGGGCCGAUACUGACGCUGAGGAGCGAAAGCGUGGGGAGCGAACAGG
rnacentral:rRNA from 1 species